rnacentral:rRNA from 1 species
UUCCCCGAGUAACGGCGAGCGAAAAGGGAAGAGCCCAGCGCCGAAUCCCCGCUCGCGAGGCGCGGGAAAUGUGGCGUUUAGGAGUGAGCGUGCCGGUGGCCGACUCUGCAGCAAGUCCCCCUGACCGGGGCUGUUUACCCACAGUGGGUGCGAGGCCCAUAGCUGCGGGGUCUCCUCCGGAUGCGAUCUCCUCGGAGUCGAGUUGCUUGGGAGUGCAGCUCUAAUCGGGUGGUAAACUCCACCUAAGGCUAAAUACUGCCGUGAGACCGAUAGCAAACAAGUACCGUGAGGGAAAGUUGCAAAGAACUUUGAAGAGAGAGUUCAAGAGUACGUGAAACUGUUCAGAGGUAAACAGGUGGGCCCUCGAAAUCCUGUGGCGGGGGCAUUCAGUCGGGAGGCUGAGACGCGCGUCGGGAAUGCAGAAGAAGGUUCCCGAGACGGGGCCGUCCCGGCGUCGCGCUUCGAUUCCGACCGACGCAUUUGUCUCCCGUCCGAAGGACGCCGCGACCGGUCGGGGUGCGGCCUUAAGGGCGAGGCGACGCAGUUGGCCGGUGGGGAGCCCUCGCGCUCUCCCGCCGGUUGUUAGCGGUCUCGUCGCACGGCCCGCGUCCCGACCGUGGCAACAGAGAGGCCUCUUUGGGCUUCGACGUCUCCUCCGACUGGUGGCGGGUGAAGACGCGCGACAGGAGCACGGCGGCCUGCGGGCGCACGGACGUACUCCGUGGCCCGGCGACUCGUCGGCUUCGCUGGUCGCGCAAGCCCCCGCGGAGUGCAGACGGUCGGCGGCGAGUAGAUCGGUCACCCACCUGACCCGUCUUGAAACACGGACCAAGGAGUUUAACAUGCGUGCGAGUCAAUGGGUCUCGAAUAAGCCCAGAGGCGCAAUGAAAGCAAAGGUCGGACGACUCCGGCCGUGUUGGGAUCCCGGCCCCUCCGCGGGUCGGGCGCACCAACGACACGUCCUGUCCCACUUGUGGGUUGGGCGUAGUCUGAGCACGCACGUUAUGACCCGAAAGAUGGUGAACUAUGCCCGGGCAGGACGAAGCCAGAGGAAACUCUGGUGGAGGUCCGCAGCGGUUCUGACGUGCAAAUCGAUCGUCAGAUCCGGGUCUAGGGGCGAAAGACUAAUCGAACCAUCUAGUAGCUGGUUCCCUCCGAAGUUUCCCUCAGGAUAGCUGGCGCUCGUCGAAUUCAGUCUCAUCCGGUAAAGCGAAUGAUUAGAGGCCUUGGGGCCGAAACGACCUCAACCUAUUCUCAAACUUUAAAUGGGUGAGAAGUCCGCCUUGCGCGACUGAAGGCCGGACGUUUCGGAUGAGAGUGCCCAGUGGGCCACUUUUGGUAAGCAGAACUGGCGCUGUGGGAUGAACCAAACGCCGGGUUAAGGCGUCCGAUGCGAGACGCUCAUGAGACCCCAUGAAAGGUGUUGCUUGCUCUAGACAGCAGGGCAGUGGCCACGGAAGUCGGAAUCUGCUAAGGAGUGUGUAACAACUCACCUGCCGAAGCAACUAGCCCUGAAAAUGGAUGACGCUCCAGCGUCGAGCCUAUACCCGGCCGCUGCGGCAGAACUCCGCUGUGGAGGCUUACGCCGCAGUGAGUAGGAGGGUCGCGGUGGCGAGCGUUGAAGGUGCCGGGCG